AUAGUUUUCAGAGCACAGCUUGUCUAUCUGAACUAAGUGACUGCUCCUGUUUAGUGUCCUUUUAAGAUAGUCCCCUAGCAAUGCAGGCUUGAAAUUUUUCAUAAUUCCCUUUCAGGAGAAAAUAUUGUAAACUGCUAUAGACUACCCACCGACAUACUCCCUAAGGACAACGCAAAAUCCAAGUGCUACAUCGUUGCCAACAUUCAAGAAGGCAAUCCUAAAGGGGUGAGAAGGCCCGAGAUGUUCGCCACGACUCGUUGCAAGCCCUGGAAGUAGAGCGAGGGCAGUGUCUCCAGUGAUGCUCUCGUUGUCUCUUACUGUCUGCUGACUGCGCCAGAAUUCAAAGGGGAGCUGCCGGUGAAGGUUUCUUUCUGUUUAGAAGAUCACCGCGCCGUCGAAACUGGUGCAAGGUCUUUCCACCAGUGGAUGAAACUACCUAUGGUGAUAGAAGGCUUGUGGCAACGUUGACUCCUGCCUUUAUAACUUCGCUGGCGCGCACAAUGUAGCUGAUCGACAAGUGGCGUUGUUGCAGCGCGGUUGUCACAUUUUCUCCUUUUUUAUUAGGUAGGGCUCUGCUAAUAAACGCCUUUCUAAAUAAAUGUUGGUGCUGAGAUAACGGA